rnacentral:rRNA from 1 species
GUCGUAACAAGGUUUCCGUAGGUGAACCUGCGGAAGGAUCAUUAUUGAAUGAACUUGGUGUGGUUGUUGCUGGCUCUUUCGAGGGCAUGUGCACGCCCACCAUCCUCAUCUCUCCACCUGUGCACCUCUUGUAGACUUGGAUUGACUUUCCGAGGCAACUCGGUCGGGAGGAUUGCCGGCGCCAGCUGGCUUUCUUUGCAUUUCCAGGUCUACGUUUUUCAUAUACCCCAUUGUAUGUAACAGAAUGUAACAUUGGGCACUUGUGCCUAUAAACUUUAUACAACUUUCAGCAACGGAUCUCUUGGCUCUCGCAUCGAUGAAGAACGCAGCGAAAUGCGAUAAGUAAUGUGAAUUGCAGAAUUCAGUGAAUCAUCGAAUCUUUGAACGCACCUUGCGCUCCUUGGUAUUCCGAGGAGCAUGCCUGUUUGAGUGUCAUUAAAUUCUCAACCUUUAUCAACUUUUGUUGAUAAUGGCUUGGAUAUGGGGGUUUAUUUUGCUGGCUUCUUUACAGAUGGUCAGCUCCCCUUAAAUGCAUUAGCCGGUGCCCCGCGUGGACUGUCUAUUGGUGUGAUAAUUAUCUACGCCGAGGGACAUCUGCAAUCAUAUGGGUUUGCACUGCUUCCAACUGUACUGUUGAAUCAGACAAUACAUGACAAUUUGACCUCAAUUCAGGUAGGACUACCCGCUGACUU